rnacentral:piRNA from 2 species
AACUCACUGUGUAGACCAGGCUGGCC